AUCAGCAGAUGACCCUUGGCAGGAAUUUUGUGCUAUGGUCCGUCAGAUUUUUAUAUACACAAAAGAGGAGGUCCAGAAGAUGGAUUCAAGUACCUUGAACCCAAAAAAUGAAGAUUGUCCUGAUAUGAAAGAGAAUGUCAAGGAAACAAAAGGCAGUCAAUCUGCAUCAUCAUCUAAUUCAAAAAACUCAUAGGCUUAUCCUGCAAUGAUCUUGAAGCACAAACAAAGUGAUUGUUUGUGCUUUAUCUAAGUGAUUGUUUGAACAGUUUUAUAGCAUGCAUCUUGACAAUUAAUAUAAUUUUGAAGAUCACUAUCAAGGAAGAAUGUUCAAAGGAAAGUAAAGGCUUAGGAGAAGAUCACGUAAUUAACUACACGGGUAGGUUUCCGUCUAGUGAAAAUACUGAAGAAGUAUGACAAGAGAACAGGAGCACUUAUCAGGCAACCCUUAAU